rnacentral:rRNA from 1 species
UAUUUAUUAGAUAAAAAACCAAUGCCCUUCGGGGCUCCUUGGUGAAUCAUAAUAACUUAACGAAUCGCAUGGCCUUGCGCCGGCGAUGGUUCAUUCAAAUUUCUGCCCUAUCAACUUUCGAUGGUAGGAUAGUGGCCUACCAUGGUAUCAACGGGUAACGGGGAAUUAGGGUUCGACUCCGGAGAGGGAGCCUGAGAAACGGCUACCACAUCCAAGGAAGGCAGCAGGCGCGCGAAUUACCCAAUCCCGACACGGGGAGGUAGUGACAAUAAAUACUGAUACAGGGCUCUUUUGGGUCUUGUAAUUGGAAUGAGUACAAUUUAAAUCCCUUAACGAGGAACAAUUGGAGGGCAAGUCUGGUGCCAGCAGCCGCGGUAAUUCCAGCUCCAAUAGCGUAUAUUAAAGUUGUUGCAGUUAAAAAGCUCGUAGUUGAACCUUGGGCCUGGCUGGCCGGUCCGCCUCACCGCGUGUACUGGUCCGGCCGGGCCUUUCCUUCUGGGGAACCUCAUGCCCUUCACUGGGCGUGUUGGGGAACCAGGACUUUUACUUUGAAAAAAUUAGAGUGUUCAAAGCAGG